GUCUGGUCACGUGACCCGAGCCGGCUCCUAGCUCCCUGCACCCAGCACCCAGCACCCGACCGCGGCGUUGCGAACCGGCUUCGCCAUUAAUGUAGGGGACAGCUGCCUAGCGACCAGGGGCUGGUCUCACUCACUGACACAUAACGGAGAAGGGAGAAGUGGCGGCAGGAAGAACUGAAAUAAGUGACUGAACAUGCCCAAAUGGUCCAUCUGUUCGAGUGGAUUACUGCACGUUUCAAAUGGGUUAUCAGCCAUGUGAACUUUAGGAGUUUUGGAUAGUAAUUCCACUUAUGUGAUACUGCCAUGGCUACAAGAAUUUCCCUACAUCCUGAACUGCCUUACUCUUCAUUAGAACAUAGGAGGUAUAUUGUAACUUCAGACAAAGGCAGUAUGCGACGUCCAACAGCCAAAUAUACCAAAGUUGGAGAACGCCUGCGGCAUGUUAUCCCAGGCCAUAUGCAAUGCUCAAUGGCAUGUGGUGGUCGUGCAUGCAAGUAUGAAAAUCCAUCCCGAUGGAGUGAAGACGAGCAAGCUGUUAAAGGGUUAUACUCUUCAUGGAUAACUGACAACAUAUUGGCAAUGGCUCGUCCUUCCACGGAAGUUAUUGAAAAAUACAGCAUUAUUGAACAAUUUCAAAGGCAUGGCAUAAAGACGGUAAUUAAUCUUCAGCGUCCUGGGGAGCAUGCACGCUGUGGUAAUCCACUGGAACCAGCAAGUGGUUUUACCUACCUACCAGAGGUAUUCAUGGAAGCUGGAAAUUAUUUUUAUAAUUUUGGAUGGAAGGACUAUGGUGUGGCUUCUCUUACCACAAUCCUUGAUAUGGUCAAAGUUAUGGCUUUUGCCCUACAAGAAGGAAAAGUGGCGAUUCACUGUCAUGCUGGACUUGGAAGGACAGGAGUCCUGAUAGCAUGUUACCUAGUCUUUGCAACAAGAAUGAGUGCAGACCAAGCAAUAUUGUUUGUUCGUGCUAAGCGGCCAAAUGCAAUUCAGACUCGUGGACAGUUGUUAUGUGUGCGGGAAUUUUCCCAGUUCCUGAUUCCAUUACGAAAUGUAUUUUCCUGUUGUGAUCCAAGAGCUCACGCUGUUACAGUUUCUCAGUAUCUCAUUCGCCAGCGCCACCUGCUGCACGGAUAUGAAGCACGGCAACUCAGACAUGUCCCAAAAAUAAUUUAUUUGACCUGCAAAUUGUUAUUAGACUUUGCAGAAAACAGGCAAUUGAUUGAAGAAGGUAAUAUAGAAAUCCCAGAUCUUACAGCGGAAAUUGAAAAAACAGUAUCACAGUUGGGGGUAGUGCAACUGGAUAAAGAAUUUGACGGCCAAGGCUUUGAUAUGGGCGAUCAUUUUGAGCACACUGCGACUGAAUUUAUUCCCAAUGAUUCGGGAUUGAUGAACGAGCAAGAAUUUGACCCUCUUUGGAAACGGCGUAAUGCAGACUUCCUUCAGCCCUUGUCCCACUUAAAAAAACGUCUCAGCUAUAGUGAAUCAGAUCUUCAGAGAGCUGAACUCUUUACAGAGCAAAAUGAAACACCUUUUACAGCACCUACCCAGGUUGCUUUCUCCAGCAAGUUCCAUCAGCAAAGUUUGUCUCAGCUCAAUCUCAGACAGCCCAGUCCAAAGCCAGUGGACACAAAUCAGAUCAGCUCAACUGUUCUGAAAGUACCAGAUCUUUGUCUUAUUAAGCAAAGUCCAUCAUUUUCUUUUAAAUCUAGUCUAUGGGAAUAUCAAAAAUCUUGUAAUGCAAAUGACCAAAAAGUGGAAUCUCCUCUUUUUGUAAGGAGAAAGCUAUCAAAGGAAAUCCACAGAACAUUUUCCUUAAGAUCAUCAACUACAGCUGCUGCACUGAAAUAUUUGAUCUCUGAAGCACCUGAUACAGUUAUCACUUCUCAUGGCACUAGUGACAUUAAUGCGGAAGAAUGUACCAGGAUCAUUGCCCCCAGUAAACAGAAUGCCAGGCCUGCUCAGGAACGUUUAUUCUCUUCUUCACUUAGCAAAAAAUCAACAGAUAAAGCUUCUUUAAAUCACAAAAAAAUGUUUGUGAUUGGGGAUGAAGAAGGAAAAGCUAAUUGGUCAGCUGAAGAGGUUCCAUGUAUCACUAUACAAUCAGAAUUGAGCAUUGAAGGAAGAAGAUUGGCAGCAGGAAAAGCCAUGGCAUUUUGUAUGGAUUUUGAUGAAGAACUCAUGGAUAAAGUUGAAAUGUGGCAGCGGGAACUAAAUAUCAGAGAAGGAACUUGGGAAAGAAUUCGCACAGAAAAGAAUCCUUAUGUAUUGUGUAGUCUUAUGUGGUCCUGGCUGGAACAGUUGAAAGAACCAGUUAUAAGUAGGGAAGAUGUGGAGACUUUAGCACAUAAAUAUAUGGAUCCCAACAAAGCGUUUUACUCAUUAGAAAAGGGCCAAUAUCAGACACUGCUUUGCAUUCUUGAUUGUAUGGCACAAUUGCGUGACCUGCCGUUUGAUGUAGAAGAUGCUAUACUUACUCGGGCAAUUCGAGCUUUUACUAAGAGCUCCUGACAUAUCUUUUCGGAAAAUAAGCACAAUGGAAAGUUGAUGUAUGUUAAUUUCACCUGAUCUUAAGUGCUGGUGGCCUGACAGGCAAUGAAAGCUGUAGAAUGGUGUAUAACUAGCUGAGCAUAAAUUUCAUCCUUUAUCAAGAUUACGCUGCCUGGCCUGCUGAGUAUUUGCAACAUUUUAUUUUUUUUAUUAAUGUAAAAUAGCUAUUGCUACACUGCCUGAAAUCUUACCAGGUUCCUCCUCAAGUGCAACAAAUAUUAGCAAAAGAUUUAUCGCCUGAAAAGAGAGAGGCAUGUUAUUGAUGCAUCCAGAAGAAACAGAAUCCUAGUUCUUAACAGGAUGUUGAGUCAUGAAUGCUGAAUGGCAUUUGGCAACUAUGCGAGGCAGGUUUGAUGGACCAGAUGAUCUUUACUUGUCUAGUGUUUUCGCAGGUUUGCGUGAUGAGAGAGAAAAAUGUCCACAGUAGAAGGACUAGAAAUCCAUCCUGACCUCUGCAUUGUCAUGAGUGGAAAUAUAUUACAUAAUUACUAUCUGACUCAUUAACUUAUCUUGCUUUACUACACUGUUAACUUUCCAUUGACUUAAUGCCUUGCAUUACACUAUGGCACUGUGUGAUUCCAGUCACAUCAACAGUUAUAUUGGAUUGUUUUAUUACAGCUGACUGUGUAAAUUGUUAUUUCUAUGCAUUUACCAAUCCUACACCAAUAUUUGGAUAUUUAAAGUAAAAACUGUCAUUUCUAAACUUAAGAUUUUUAUGUUUAAAUCCAAAUUUUUGAGUAAAAAGAAUAUUUCAUUAACAGCUAUUUAGCUUUUCUCUUUUGUGCAAUGCUUUCCAACAUUAUAUCCCUCUGCCCCGUUCUGUUCUCUAAUCUUGUCAUGGCUUGGUUUCACUGAUGCAUAAACAUUGUUUGUGGACAUUGGUAUAAAACUAGUUGAUUACAUUGCACUUUUGUCUGUCUUUUUGCUUAAAAAAAGCAAAGAGAGAAAAAUAUUGAUCGAAAUUCCUAUUCAUGAACAGGUUGGGCAAUAUUGUGACAAUAAGGGAUCUCUUUUAUUGAAUGCAAUUUUAAGCUCACAAUAGGUUAUAAUUCAAGGUGUCUAAUCUAGUAGGUUCUUGUCUUUUGCCCCACUGGGAAAUUAAAAACCUUUCCCGACCAUUUAAAGACCUAUAUUCUUGUCUGCAAGCCAGCAGAAGAGAUUUAACAUUUAUAUAUUCCUGCAAAAUUGUCCAUUCUUGUCUAUACACAUUCAGGUUUGCAGAUCUGAUUGAACUUGAAUGCUUUUAAAAAAAAGACACUUGCUUGGGAAAGACUAGGGAUAGCACGUAAACAAUGUCAUUAACACAUGAGGAGUAAAAUUGCAGACUUGAAAAAGGAGCUGCCACAAAGUGCCUCUUUAACUGUUACUCUUGUAUUGCUGCCACUUCAAAUUAUUCAUGCAGCUUUACCUCCUUGUGCUUUCCAUGCAUGAUCAUAACUGUUUUUACACAAAUAAAAGCUACAACAUCCAAUUGAAAUGUUACAACAUGAGUGUCUUGAGACCUUUCAUCCAGUAUAAUGUUCCUAAUGCAACCUAACUACAUGAUGCUUCUUACCUUUUUUGACAAAAGGUUUGGUGCUUUUAGUACUUAUGCCUGCUGCAGAACCAUGCUACUGAACAUGGUAAUGGAUAGAAGGCUGCAGUCUUGAUUUCAGUUUUCUACCCUGAACCUCUUGCUGUUAACACACUGAGCCAGGAACAAAACUUUGUAAAAUUGUCAAAUUCCAACCUGAAUAUCUCCAGCCUACUUUAAGAUUCAAAACGGUGAUAUUUAUGGUUGUAGAGAGCUAGCAGGAGAAUGGAAUUAAUCUAGGUAGCCAUAUGGAAGAAACAUUGACUUUGAUUUUAAGAGCCUUUAUCCUGUCUUUGUACUUCACCACUUGACAUGAUCAUUGCAGAUGCUGAUGUUACUUAAUGGGGAUCAAUAGUAUAAAAUCGUGUUUGAACUGACAGUUAGUGAAUAAAGGUUUCAAAUAGAUUACAGUUAUGUUAACUUUAAAUUAUUUUUGUUUUUAAUAAGUAGAAUGAACUGUUCUGUAAUGUUAACCAUUUGAGGGUGAGUAGACUAAAUAAUUUUCUUCUUUGGGAUUGCCCAGUAUCUUGUAAGUUUCCUCAUGUGGAUAGUCAAAAAUUAUUUCACAUUCUGUAAGACUUUGUUUUGAGUUAGUUUUAUAUAUAGAGAGAAUGUAAAAUCCUAUUCAAUAAGGUUGACGACUCAUGUUUGAACAACAAAACUGCAUUUUAGUACUUGAUUGCUGUAUACCAAAUGGUAACAUACUAAUAUAGUGCAUCGAGGCCAGCAAUUACAUGGGUAAUGCAACAUUUUGGGGAAAAAAAUUCCACACUUGAGAGCUUGUUGAGAAUGAAAGUAUUUCGUUAAGCCAGAAUUAGACACAGUUGAGAGGGGCAGCCAAUUCCUUCACCUUCAGGAAUAAGAUCUACGCAAAUUGGUGUAGAGAGAGGGAGGGAAUACUAAGUUAAGUCAUGCAGUAUGUUUUAAUUCCCAUGACAUUACACUCGCCAAAUGAAAUGAAAAUGCUCAGCUCAGAUUUCUAUCAGCAUUUUUAAUGUAUCUUUAUACUUGUUUUGCAAAAGUUUCUGAAACUGGAAUAAAAUAUCAAAUUGAUGUUAUUUUCAGAAGACCAGUUGAAUUUCAUGGUUUGGAAAGGGAAGUGUUCAGGAUUUAAUGUUUCCAUAUUAAAUUAUAACAUGCUGAGAAGCAGGGGAAGUUGAUGCAGAUAUGCAUGGAUUUCCUUAUUAAGUUUAAAUCUUUUAACAAAUUUUCAAAAGAUUUUAAAAAGUUUAUCUAUUUGAGCUCAUCCAGAACUGCUGUUCAUAUCCUAACAUGCACCAAGUCCUGACCAUGCAUCACCCUUGUGACUCGUUGACAUCCAACCCAGCACAGGUCGAUGUAAAAAAUUUGCAUACUUGUUUUUCAAAUCUGUUUUUGUACUUUAUCCCUUCCCAUCUCCAUUUAACCUAUC